rnacentral:lncRNA from 1 species
UAAACCUGCCGCUUGAUUGAUGUUGCGUAGGAGCAUAACCGGCAAGCCUACCUUCAGUUUUAGCUCGUGGUUUGGAAUUCCUGGGAAGGUCAAUUUGUUAAGGAACUCUGUUGAACACAUAUUCUCCAUUGUGUUGUAAUUUGUUGUUGCCUUGCAUACAGUGUCCAAGCUUAGGUAUGUCACCUCUUCACCUUGUAUUUGGCUCAUUACGUAGUCAUUUAUCUUAUCAAUUGUUUCAUUCCUUGGACAUAGUAUUGCUCUUUCUUCAAGAAAUUCAUGGUCACGAUAGUUUUGGUGCAAGUUUGGGUACGUGCUUUUCACUAUCGCUUCUUUCGGGUCUUCUCCUUUUUGCAGAAUUAUGUCUUUAGGUAUUUUUACCCAAUCAUCUCCUUCAUCGUUUGUUUGUUUUCCGUCGCCAAUUUGUAAUAUCCAUUAUGCAAAUUCAGCCACAUUUUGCUUUUGUAUUGGAUCUUCUGACAGGCACUUCAGCCGCAUGUUUUCAGUUGGUCUAAAUAUUUCGAAGUGCUUCCAUAGGUAUGACCUUUUGACUGAGGCAUUUACUAUCUGCUCUCUCUUUCCCUUUGUAACCGCUGGAAGUAUUUGUCUGAAGUCGCCUCCUAGCACAACUGUCAUGCCACCAAAUGGCCUUUCGUCACUGUUUUGGUUUUGGAACCUUAGAAUAUCCCUAAGGCUUUUGUCUAGUGCCUCGAAGCAGUGUUUGUGUGCCAUAGGAGCCUCGUCCCACAGUAUCAGUGAGGUCCUCUUUACCAGUUCAGCCAAAUGUGAGCCUUGUUUUAUUUCACAUGUUGAUUCUUCUGUGAUAUUUAUUGAAAUGUGGAAUCUUGAGUGCGCUGUUCUUCCACCUUGGAGGAGCAAUGCUGCAAUGCCAGAUGAUGCUACCGCAAGCACUAUUUUCCCCUCCGAUCGUAGCUUUGUUGUGAUUGCUUUCCAUAGAUAAGUUUUGCCUGUGCCACCGUAGCCCUCUACAAAUAUCUGUUUUCCAAGUCCUCUGUAAGCUGAUUCCAUUAUGGCAUCAAAGGCAAUUUUCUGGCCAUAGUUAAGAUUGCUAACUAUGGUUUGGUGCUCAAUCUUUAGUGCUUGUGUGUCGUAGCUAAGUUCUUCAUUUAUCAUUCUGUUCCCAAGUUGUUCAAGUUCAGUAGCAUUUGGUAGUUCUAUGCCUGGAUAGUCCUUUAGUGUCUUUCCAGCUUGCCUCAUUAGUUUCUCUAUCUCGAUCAGAGCAUAUGAUUUUUUUCUGUGAAUCAGUUAGCUGCAGCGUAGGAAAGUUUAGGAUUAUUCUUCUUUUGUACUGGAUAUCUUCAGAUAGUGCCUCCCAUGUUGAAUCCCACAACAUUUUUGGGCUAGUCACCUCACAAUGGCAUAAUAUUGUGGUGAAUAGCUGCCGUAAUCGUAUCCCUGAUCCCCAACUUGAUGCUUCAUUGAUGCAUUCAAUCCACUCACUAUCGUCAUCAAGAAAUCCAAGCGCUUGGCAUGCUGAUUUGUAUGUUGGGUGAACUACUCCAUUAAUUGUUCUAAUAUCCUCAAAUGAUGUGCAUCCUUUCUUGAUGUUUAGAAGCAUUCUCAUAUAAUACCGGUCACCACUUGCAGGGUGUGCAUAGUAAAUUCUUCCAAUUGCAAAGCCCCUUUUGCGCUUCUCCCAAGUUUUGGAGUCACUUUUCCAUACAAAUUUUGAUGGGAAUUCUGCAUAGGUUAAUUCUUUUCCCACCUCAUGUAUUUUGUUUGCCUCCAUCCACUCAGUGAACUUAGUACUUGUGGAUCCUGGCAUUCUUACUAAUUUUUCAAUGUCAGUCGAGUCUGGAAAAAUAACUUGUUGCUCGUUUUCAAUGUGGAAUGGCAGUCUCUCUACUGGUGGAUCACGAUGGUGUAGAUCAAACUGGAAUAUCCACUAGCAUGCUUCGGUUGUUGAUAUGUAUCUCAUCUCUAGGUAUUUCUUGAUUUCAUCAUAGUCGCUUGUCGCGUCCCUUUCCUUUAGUAAGGCUGUUACUUGGUCGUCAUCUUUAUGGAUGUACUUAAAUAGGUACUUGAUUGACCUGGACCUGUUGCACCAUUCCGCAUUUAUGUGAGCUUGGAAUUUGACCAAAAGGUUUCUGUUGUAUGGCACAACAAACCUGUUAUCGAGCAUUGCUCCUCCCUUUUUGAUAUUCCUUCCAUUGUCUCGCCUUCUAUAUACUGGAAAGCCAUCCUCAUCGAUUGUCGUAUCGAUAUUGUACCGUUUUGGGAAGUGUUUAGUGCAUUUGUUGUCUAUCAUGCAUGGUGAUUUUGUAUUUGCCUCUCCGCAAGGCCCGUGCAUCAUGAAGUUUUCAACAGCUUCAUAUCCGUCCAGAUCAACAUCUUUGUCUGGGAUCUCCGCACUGAUUAUUUGGUUGAUUUCUGAUGGUCCUUUGCACUUGAGUCCCCUCUUCUGGAACUCUAUUGUGUAGAUAACUGCAUUGAUUGAAUAUAUAGUUUUAUUUUGUUAAAAUUUGGAAUCAUUUUAAUAAAUAGAUAAAGGCUAUUGUGUGUUUAAAAAUUGAAACUUUAGGUCCUAUUAGUUAGCGAUUAGUAGUCGACUGAUCUUACUUGCUAUAGUUUCUCCAAAGUGUUUCUUCACAACGAUAUCUCUCAUUAGCUCCUUCAGUUUUAUCAUGAAUACUCGGUCAACAAUAUUUGGUCGGUCGGCUGGCUUGAGGCCUCCUCCUGCUUCAUCUAGCAUGUAUUGGAUCUCAGGACACUUUGCAUUGCAUGUGAAUGUUAUAAAUAGGUCUGGAUAUCCAGCCCAACGGCAUAUUGCAAAUGCGUCUUGCAAGUUUUGUGCCUUGUUUCUUCUACCUCCUGUAUAAGAUGAAGGUACAAUUAUUCUCUUUCCGACCUGCUCUGUUCUGGUGUCCCCUCGCUCAAUCACGUCAUGUAGUCCACUGUAAAGUUCAGUUCGUAGCUUCCCUUGAUUAUUCCUGAUCCAGUUUAGUCUGUUUUGCUCAAUGCAUGUGUAAACAUCCACCCAAAAUUGAAGCGAGAGAUGUCUAGAUGUUAGCAACGACAUUCCUUGGUCGGGUCUUUGUUGUAGGUAGUAUGCAUAGUAGUCUAGCAUAGUUACAUAUUUCCUGCUUUUGUCACCUUCUUUUAUUCGCUUGUAAGGUAUUUCAAGCUUGAAUCCAUCUUCUCCGUAUGGAAACAAUAACGGGUAUUGCAUUGACAUUAAUUUUGGAUGGAUUUCCGAUAUUCUGUGAGGUUCCAUAUUUUUGUACUCAACAACGAUGUCUCGUCCUUCGCUCUCUCCAGUAGGGUCUCUUACAACUAAUGCUGCAACUUCUGAUGCUGAUGGAAGGUUGUGUGUUCCGUUCCUUUUCCCAAGUAUUCGAAGCGUGUAAUCGUGGUAGUCUUCUUCUUCGAAUCUAUCUCUUGCCAUUCUGAUUGACUUUGCAAGGAUGUUGUUCUCAUCAAGCAUUUCUUGUAGUUCCUUGACAAUGGCAGGGUCCACUGUUGUUUUUUUAUCAUUGCAUCUUGAAGCAUCUAUCCUGUUUUGUACCUCAUUUUCUAUCUGAUAGAUGUAUAGCUGGGCAAAUCGAGGUUUGUUACCUUCUUCGGGUAGAAGAGUUCCAAUAUGGUGGUAGUUCUGGCCAUGCAGUCUAAAAACAUAUGGUCCUUUGCCUUUGUUUAUUUCUUUGUCAACAGUUCCUCCCAUUGACGUGAAUGAGAACAUUGAGUUGUAUGACCUUAUAUUUUCUCUGAAGUUUGUUGCAUCACUUCCUUCACCUGUUAAUAGCCCUGCAAGGUAAGGUGGAGGAUAUGCUAUCUUUGGUAGGCCAAUUUUACCAUGUUUGCAGCAAAUUCCGAAAGAAGGUUUUUUGGUUCCUCUAUGAGAAUUUAAUCUUUCUUCACACCAUAGUAUUGCAUUGCAAUGUUCGCAUAUGUAUGUUGGCUUUCCAAAGUUCCAUAUCGUGCUAUAAUAACUUCUGGACGUAGUGCUGCUGGUUCUUUCUAUGAUGUUGCUUUCAAGCUCAUUGUCGCUUGCAUUUUUUCUUGCAUGCUUGACAUCUUUUCUUUCUUUGAUUUGUUCCUUUCUCUUCCGUGAAGCAUCUUCUUCUGUUUUAUAGGUUGUUUCCUGUGUAUUCCUGCAUCUCUUACUCCUUUUUUGUUGGAGUUGUUGUUUCCUCCUGAUAAUAGCUUCUCUAGCUUCUUUUGUAAGUUGGCCUGCUGAUUUUGAUGUGCACUGUCCCUUCAUUUCUGCAUUGGAUAUUCUUUUAGCAAUAUAGUAUAAUAUAAUUCUAAUUUCUGCAUAAUGUCGUCAAGAGGCUAACGAUAUAUGCAAUAAAUAGGAGAUGGUGGCUGCAUGUAGACAAUCUAUAAUACUUCGAUCAUGCUUUCAGGAUUACUGUGUUUUGUGGUUCGAGCUGCUGUGUAUGGCAUUAUUGGAGGGACAGUGUGCUUGUUUCUCAGUGAACGACAAUUGUUCCAUGGGAAUUACUAAGGCAAAGUACUCUCUAAGAUCAUUGUUAGCAAUAUACGUAAAGUUAUUAGGUUCUGCAAUAUUAACAAAGGUAAAUAUUUGAAAUGUAUAUGUUACAAAUGUACAAAAAAAAGUGUGCAUUACAUGAAGAUUGUAAAAUCUCAAUGAUAUACCUGAUAAUGUUUUCUUGUCUUUGUUUUUCUAAUUUUGUAAAGCUUCACACGCAUGUGCUAAUUAUUGUCGUAAUUGUAUCUUUGCUGCAAAGCCAAUCCUGUAGCGAUCUUGGAAAAUAUUUUAUACCAUGUACAAAUUAUUAGAGCAUAUUUUUUAUUGCUGCAGUGACUUUAUCAGUCUGUGAGUCACUUUUAGUUCAUCACAGAAGCUGUUACUAUUUUCUCAAAGAAAAUAAAGUUUAUGUGAAGAGCCAAGGCAAG